rnacentral:sRNA from 1 species
GUCUUGCUUUAUUUCAGGAAUGCCUCUGGCUCAGGCAGUAGCCAUUCUUCAGAAGCACUGUCGCAUCAUCAAAAACGUCCAGGUUCUCUACAGUGAACAGUCUCCUCUAAGCCAUGACCUCAUUCUUAACCUGACUCAGGACGGAAUCAAACUAAUGUUUGAUGCUUUCAAUCAGAGACUUAAGGUGAUCGAAGUAUAUGAUUUGACUAAAGUAAAGUUAAAAUAUUGUGGCGUGCAUUUUAAUUCUCAGGCCAUAGCUCCUACCAUUGAACAGAUUGACCAGUCUUUUGGCGCAACCCAUCCUGGAGGUAAGCCAAGUCCAUCUGAUUCCUCUGGUCAUCAGUGGCAGUUCAUAGCAAUAAACCUGCCCGGUAGUGCCAUCCCACCCCACUUCCUGGAGUCAGGCUCCCAUAGGAUUGUGGGGUUGGUACUUGGGUGUGAAGGAAACAUCCUCCCCCUUGUUUUCAACCUAGUAGGCCAGUUUAGAAACAAGCCACAGGGAAGGUGUUGUCAGUCAUUACUCCCUGCCAGGCUGGUUUAUGUUAGCCAUUUCAGAUGCCAGUCAACCAUGUUAUUUUCUUCUCCCCCACCCCCAACAGUGUACAACUCCGCUGAGCAGCUCUUCCAUCUCAACUUCAGAGGACUGUCUUUCUCUUUUCAGUUAGACUCAUGGACUGAGGCUCCAAAGUAUGAGCCCAAUUUUGCCCAUGGCCUGGCUUCUCUCCAGAUACCCCAUGGAGCAACUGUAAAACGAAUGUAUAUCUACAGUGGCAACAGCCUACAGGAUACAAAGUAAGUAUAAGGAGCAUGAGUUUCAUGCUAAGGCCUGGGCUGCCUGAGAGAAAGAACCAAGCCUCUGCUCAUUCUGUGUCUGUCCCCAGGGCUCCCAUGAUGCCUCUGAGCUGUUUCCUGGGCAAUGUCUAUGCUGAGAGUGUAGAUGUUCUUCGAGACGGAACUGGACCUGCAGGUUUACGACUUCGCCUACUUGCUGCAGGUCAGUGACUGGCUUUGAGAUUGGUACAUUCCGCAUUAUACCCAUGUUGAGACAGUCUAAAAUCCCACGUGCUUAGGGUGUGUCUUAGUCCAUUCAGGCUGCUAUAACAAAAUACCAUAAACUGAGUGGCUGCUAAACAACAGAAAUUUAUUUCUUACAGUUCUGGAGGCUGGGAAGUCCAAGAUCAAGGCACUGGCAGAUUCAGUAUCUGGAUGCGCCUGCAGUCUAGUUCAUAGAAGAGACUUCUCCCCGUAUCCUCAUAUGGUGCAAGGGGCUAGUUAACUCCCUGGAGUCUGUUUUGUAACGGCACUGAUCUCAAUCCUGAGGUCUCCGCUUCCAUAAUGUAAUCACCUCCCAAAGCCCUGACCUUCUAAUACCAUCACCUUGGUGGUUAGGAUUUCAACGUAUGAAUUUUAGGGGAAACAAAAGCAUUCAGUCCAUUGCCACAUAGUUGGUAGAAGACAAAUGAUGCAGAUGUUUUUGGUUAAAGCUUUUGUUUAGUUUUGUCAAGGGACUGGACAUAGUCUUAUAAUUAGCAAAUCUUAAUAAGAUGCACUGCUUCUCUCAGCAUGCACAUAGGCCUGCUGUGUGCUUAUAUAGCUUUGUGACAGUUCCCAAGUGUUUCCUGGAGAUGCAUCCUGUGGGUUGCAGUGCUACUGCUCUCCCCUUUUCUCUUUUUUUCUUUUUUCUUUUUUUUGAGACAGAGUCUUGCUCUGUCACCAAGGCUGGAGUGCAGUGGCACGAUCUCAGCUUACUGCACCCUCUGCCUCCCGGGUUCAAGCGAUUCUCCUGCCUCAGCCUCCCGAGUAGCUGGGAUUACAGGCACGCAUUACCACACCCGGCUAAUUUUUGUAUUUUUAGUAGAGACAGGGUUUCACCAUGUUGUUCAGGCUGGUCUCGAACUCCUGACCUCAUGAUCCGCCCACCUCAGCCUCCCAAAGUGCUGGGAUUACAGGCGUGAGCCACCGCACCUGGCCAGCUCUCCCCUUUUUUGUACCUUUUUUUGUUUUGUUUUGUUUUGUUUUGUUAGAGAUGGUCUCAUUCUGUCAUCCAGGCUGUAGUGCAGUGGUGCAAUCAUAGCUCGCUGCAGCCUCAAAACUCCUGGGCUCAAGUGAUCUCACCUAAGCCUCCCAAGUAGCUAGGACCACAGGCGUGUGCUACCAUGCCCAGUUAAUUUUUGUGUAUGUGGAGAUGGGUCUUGCUGUGUUACCCAGAAUGAUCUUGAACUCCUGGGCUCAAUGGAUCCUCCCUCCUUGGCUUUCCAAAGUGCUGGUAUUACAGGUGCAAGCCGCUACACCCAGCUUUUCUCCCUAUAUUGCCCAGGCUGGUGUGCAGUGGAAUACUGUGGCCUUGAACUCCUGGGUUCAAGCAAUCCUGCCUUAACCUCCUGACUAGGCUACAGGCACGCACCACCAUGCCUGGCUCCCCUUUUUCUACCCUUAAUGCCAAGUUCUCAGCAUAGGCAAGCAGACGGGACUUGUUGAAUUGUGGUUUGGCCACACCUUGGCAAGAGUUUUGCCAACCAUGAACAACAACAACAACAACAAAAAGAAAUAGUUGGCCGGGUGCGGUGGCUCAUGCCUGUAAUCCCAGCACUUUGGGAGGCCAAAGCGGGCGGAUUACCUGAGGUCAGGAGUUCAAGACCAGCCUGACCAAUAUGAUGAAACCCCAUCUCUAUUAAAAAUACAAAAAUUAGCUGGGCGUGGUAAUGCACGCCUGUAAUCCCAGCUACUCAGGAGGCUGAGACAGGAGAAUCGCUUGAACUCAGGAGGCAGAGGUUGCAGUGAGCUGAGAUAGCGUCAUUGCACUGGAGCCUGGGCAACAAGAGCGAAACUCCGUCUCACAA